UACGUAGGUGGCAAGCGUUGUCCGGAUUUAUUGGGUUUAAAGGGUGCGUAGGCGGUCUUGUAAGUCAGUUGUGAAAUACGACAGCUCAACUGUCGAGGUGCUGAUGAUACUGGUGGACUUGAGUACUGAUGAGGUAGGCGGAAUGGACGGUGUAGCGGUGAAAUGCUUAGAGAUCGUCCAGAACACCGAUAGCGAAGGCAGCUUACUAAGGAGUAACUGACGCUGAGGCACGAAAGUGUGGGGAUCAAACAGG
rnacentral:rRNA from 1 species